GGAGUCGGCCGGACAGUCGCUGCGGCUUCGCAGCCGUGGAGGAAAGUCCGGGCUCCACAGGGCAAGGUGCCAGGUAACGCCUGGGGGGCGCGAGCCCACGGAAAGUGCCACAGAAAACACACCGCCUACGUGCGCCGGGCGACCGGCGCGCCGGUAAGGGUGAAAAGGUGCGGUAAGAGCGCACCGCGCCGACGGUAACGCCGGUGGCAGGGUAAACCCCACCUGGAGCAAGACCGAAUAGGGGAAGUCGCCGCCCUCGUGCGGCGAAGGCGUGGCCCACGCCCUUCCCGGGUAGGUCGCUCGAGGUGCGCGGCGACGCGCACCCCAGAUGAAUGACUGUCCUCGACAGAACCCGGCUUACAGGCCGGCUCCCUCC
rnacentral:RNase_P_RNA from 1 species